GAAGACACUAGAAAAUAGGAUAUAUGAAGAGUGGUUGAAGGAACUGGGGUUGUUUGAUCUGGAAAUGAGAAGGCUGAGGAAAGACCUCACUGCUCUCUACCUCUACUUGAAAGGAGGCUGCAGCGAGGUGGAUGUCAGUCUCUUUUCUCAGGUGAUGUGAUAGGAUAUACAAGGAAAUGGUUUCAAGUUGUGCCAGGGGAAGUUUAGAUUGGAUAUUAGGAGGAAUUUCUUUACAGAGAAUGUGGUCAAGUAUUGGAAUGGGCUGCCCAGAGAAGUGGAGGAGUCCUUGUCACUGGAGGUACAUAAGAGAUGUGUGGAUGUGGCACCAAGGGACACGGCUUAGCAGUGGGACUCAGUAGGUCAGGUUGAGGGUUGGACUUCGUGAUCUUGAAGGUCUCUUCCAACCCAGAUGAUUCUAGGAUCUCAUGAUCCUGUCUGCUUCUGAGAUACAGACACUGCCAGACACAGAAGCUUGCAGCAAAGAGGCUGAAAUCUGGCGUGGGUUACCCUAGCACAGCCCACACAAGACAGUCAUACUGGUUUUUUUUGCCUUUCUGGGGCCAAACUGCCAGAUCCUGGAAUUCACUCAUUCCCCUCCUAUCCACCCUUCAGCCAAACAGGAACGAGUACCCUGCAGUUAGCUGCAUGCUGCCAGCUUGGGCCUUCAAAACAGCACAAAAACACAGUCCAGACCGAACGCGGAAAUGUAGGCCUGGGCCCGGCCCCAUGCAGAGCGUCUGCUGGAAAGGCCCUGAGGCUGCUCUGGCAUGGCAAUAACCUACGCACACAGGGACGGUCAGCAAAAUUCUCUCAGUAGUGGUGUGCGGAGCAGUGGAACCACAAGGCCAGGGCCAGAGACAGGAGGACAAUGUAAAGAGAACUUCAGUGGGACCUGCCUAUGCCUCCAAGAUCCAUACCUCCUGGUUGGUAUUGCAGAGAGGACCAGCUGCGUCAUCUGUGUUGACUACCUGGACCUGCUACGAGGUUCUCCGUUUCAUGUGUCUGAUUCAGCACCUGGUGAUGAUUUGAUACUUCCAGAUGUGAAGAUAACGUUCCAGUUCUUCUGACAAACUGCCAGACUCUUUCUUUGUUGCUCAUGUUCCCUAAGCAACUCAACUCUACUGCCAAAGCUCAAAAGAUCCGCCAUAAAGCUAGCCAAAUUGAGGAAGUCUUUUAGAAAAUCUUUCUAAUUUAUGGCCCUUAGGAAAAUGGCCAGCUUUUCCAUAAGAUUUUUGACUGCCUUCUGUAGGAAGUCUGAUGCUCCCAUUUCAUGGAGACAAACAGCAAUUUCAUCCAGAUAAGAAGCAAUAUGUAAUGCAAGAUCAAAAUAACUGAUAAGACUCUUCCCAUCCUGAUCGCUGCAUUUUUAGAUCAAAGGUCUCAAAUUCUCAGAAAAAAAAAUCCUGUAUGAAAUAUCUGUGUGCAAACUAUACCUUUUCAAAAAUUAUUAAUUCAAAUAAAACAAACUAAGCACUUCUACUUUUAAAAGAU
rnacentral:lncRNA from 1 species